rnacentral:misc_RNA from 1 species
UGGAUCAGCUUCUGACAUUAUUUCUGCUUCAUCUGACAAGUUGGUUAAGAUAUGCUCUUACUAACUCACUAUCUUAGUCCUGGGAUUUGAACGAAAU